rnacentral:rRNA from 1 species
UACGUAGGGUGCAAGCGUUGUCCGGAAUCAUUGGGCGUAAAGCGCGUGUAGGCGGCUUGGUAAGUCCGCUCUGAAAGCCCGGGGCUCAACCCCGGGAGGCGGGUGGAUACUGUCAAGCUCGAGUCCGGAAGAGGCGAGUGGAAUUCCUGGUGUAGCGGUGAAAUGCGCAGAUAUCAGGAGGAACACCAAUGGCGAAGGCAGAUCGCUGGGACGUGACUGACGCUGAGACGCGAAAGCGUGGGGAGCAAACAGG